rnacentral:lncRNA from 1 species
AACAUUGAGCUAAUGUGUUGAGCAAAACAUGAAAAGAUGAAAAAGAUAAAAAAAGAAAAAGAAAAAAAAGAUAAAAUGAGAAGAAAAGCUCAAUGUAAAGAAAAGGGAAAGUUGGGAAUGAGUGAGAGUGGUUGUUUAAAGAGAGUUCGUGUUUAAACUAUAAAUGUGAAUAACUCUCUUAACUCAAAGAUUUUUUGAUCUAGAAAAACCAAUGUUCUUCUUAG